rnacentral:rRNA from 1 species
GAUGAACGCUAGCGGCAGGCCUAACACAUGCAAGUCGAGGGGUAACUAGAGUGAUAGCAAUAUUACUUUGGCUAGACCGGAGCACGGGUGCGUAACACGUAUGCAACCUACCUUAUACUGGGGAAUAACUUCGAGAAAUCGGCGCUAAUACCCCAUAACAUUGCGAAGAGGCAUCUCUUUGCACUUAAAGCUCCGGCGGUAUCAGAUGGGCAUGCGUCCAAUGAGCUAGUUGGUGAGGUAACGGCUCACCAAGGCUACGAUUGGUAGGAGUGUUGAGAUGAUGAUCCCCCACACUGGUACUGAGACACGGACCAGACUCCUACGGGAGGCAGCAGUGAGGAAUAUUACGCAAUGGACGAAAGUCUGACGCAGCCAUGCCGCGUGCAGGAUGACGGCCCUAUGGGUUGUAAACUGCUUGUGUACGGGAAUAAACCCUUCUACGUGUAGGAGGCUGAAGGUACCGUAAGAAUAAGCACCGGCUAACUCCGUGCCAGCCGCCGCCGUAAUAC